rnacentral:rRNA from 1 species
CGGUGAAUACGUUCCCGGGCCUUGUACACACCGCCCGUCACACCACGAAAGUCGGCAACACCCGAAGCCGGUGGCCCAACCCUUUUGGGGGGGGAGCCGUCGAAGGUGGGGUUGGCGAUUGGGGUG